rnacentral:SRP_RNA from 1 species
UCGUGCUAGGCGGGGAGUUAGCGGUGUCCUGUACCUGCAAUCCGCUUCAGCAGGGCUUAAUCCCUUCAGGAGGCCGGAGACGUUGGUCAAUACGUCGUAGAUACGGUGUUGAGAGUUGGGUCCUGCGCGGCGAGGCCUCGUGAACCCCGUCAGAUCCGGAAGGAAGCAGCGGUAAGUGAGUCACCUCGGGUGACGCAGGUUGGCCUGGCUCGAGUCGUUUUCUACGCGCAUACUACCGUUGUUUGAUCGAAUGAAGGUGCACGA